GGACGCAACUCUGGAGAGCACGUAGUCUUAACUGCGUCACCAAAGGGGAAGGCUCAAGGAACGAGUUGAGCUAAACUCUCAGGUAAAAGGACAGAGAAGGGGAG
rnacentral:ncRNA from 2 species